AUCGCUUCCCGGCUCCUUGGAGCUAAGAUCAAAGCGUAGUAUCUGUUCUUAUCAGUUUAAUAUCUGAUAUGUCCUUUAUUUGAGGACUGUAUAUUAAAUUGAUUUUUGAAACAGGGGGAUGGAAUAGGAGCUUGCUCUGUCCACCCCAUGCAUUGACCUGGUAUUGCAGUGUCUCCAGGAACAGUGCAUCUCCU
ensembl:snRNA U2 U2 spliceosomal RNA